GAUCAUGGCUCAGGAUUAACGCUGGCGGCGUGCCUAAUACAUGCAAGUCGAAUGGUAGCAAUACCAUGGCGAACGGGUGAGUAACACGUAGGUAACCUGUCUUUAAGCCGAGGAUAACCAUUGGAAACGAUGGAUAAUACUGGAUAGGACAUUUGAAGGCAUCUUUAGAUGUUUAAAGAUUUAUCACUUAGAGAGGGGCCUGCGGCGCAUUAGCUAGUUGGUGAGGUGAAGGCUUACCAAGGCGAUGAUGCGUAGCCGGACUGAGAGGUUGAACGGCCACAAUGGAACUGAGAACGGUCCAUACUCCUACGGGAGGCAGCAGUAGGGAAUUUUCGGCAAUGGGCGGAAGCCCUGACCGAGCAACGCCGCGUGAACGAAGAAGUAUUUCGGUAUGUAAAGUUCUUUUAUUAGGGACGAAAAGACAGAUUGACGGUACCUAAUGAAUAAGCUCCGGCUAACUACGUGCCAGCCGCCGC
rnacentral:rRNA from 1 species